rnacentral:rRNA from 1 species
CGACCUCAGAUCGGGCGAGACUACCCGCUGAAUUUAAGCAUAUCAAUAAGCGGAGGAAAAGAAACUAACAAGGAUUCC